rnacentral:tRNA from 1 species
AAAGACAUAGUAUAGACAUAUAAUACAUCUCACUUACACUGAGAAGACACUUUAGAUUAAGUUGUUUUUA